UCUUCGCUAGUAUAUCGGUUAGUAUAAUCGCCUCUCAAGCGAGAGCCAGUCCUCUUCCUUCUGCGAAGAUGGGUGCGCGAUAGAGCAGGGUUCGACUCCCUGGCGGAGAA